GCAUUAAGCGCCCCGCCUGGGGAGUACGCCCGCAAGGCUAAUACUCAAAGGAAUUGACGGGGGCCCGCACAAGCGUCGGAGCAUGCGGAUUAAUUCGAUGCAACGCGAAGAACCUUACCAAGACUUGACAUAUUCAGGAAAACUGCAGAAAUGUAGUCCCCCGCAAGGGUCUGUUUACAGGUGGUGCAUGGUUGUCGUCAGCUCGUGUCGUGAGAUGUUGGGUUAAGUCCCGCAACGAGCGCAACCCUCGUCCUAUGUUGCCAGCACGUUAUGGUGGGAACUCAUGGGAGACUGCCGGGGUCAACUCGGAGGAAGGUGGGGAUGACGUCAAAUCAUCAUGCCCCUUAUGUCUUGGGCUUCACGCAUGCUACAAUGGCCGGUACAAAGGGCUGCAAUACCGCAAGGUGGAGCGAAUCCCAAAAAGCCGGUCUCAGUUCGGAUUGAGGUCUGCAACUCGACCUCAUGAAGUCGGAGUCGCUAGUAAUCGCAGAUCAGCAACGCUGCGGUGAAUACGUUCCCGGGCCUUGUACACACCGCCCGUCAAGUCACGAAAGUC
rnacentral:rRNA from 1 species